GACGUAGGAUGCAAGCGUUAUCCGGAAUUAUUGGGCGUAAAGCGCGCGUAGGCGGCCCGGUAAGUCCGUUGUGAAAGUCAAAGGCUCAACCUUUGAACGCCGAUGGAUACUGCCGGGCUAGAGUCCGGAAGAGGCGAGUGGAAUUCCUGGUGUAGCGGUGGAAUGCGCAGAUAUCAGGAGGAACACCAAUAGCGAAGGCAGCUCGCUGGGACGGUACUGACGCUGAGGCGCGAAAGCGUGGGGAGCGAACAGG
rnacentral:rRNA from 1 species